GUAGGGAAUUUUCGUCAAUGGGGGGAACCCUGAACGAGCAAUGCCGCGUGAGUGAAGAAGGUCUUCGGAUCGUAAAGCUCUGUUGUAAGAGAAAAACGGACUCCAUAGGGAAUGAUGGAGGAGUGAUGGUAUCUUACCAGAAAGCCACGGCUAACUACGUGCCAGCAGCCGCGGUAAUACGUAGGUGGCGAGCGUUAUCCGGAAUCAUUGGGCGUAAAGGGUGCGUAGGUGGCACGAUAAGUCUGUAGUAAAAGGCAGCGGCUCAACCGCUGUUGGCUAUGGAAACUGUCGAGCUGGAGUGCAGAAGAGGGCGAUGGAAUUCCAUGUGUAGCGGUAAAAUGCGUAGAUAUAUGGAGGAACACCAGUGGCGAAGGCGGCCGCCUGGUCUGCAACUGACACUGAAGCACGAAAGCGUGGGGAGCAAAUAGGA
rnacentral:rRNA from 1 species